rnacentral:rRNA from 1 species
CUGGCGGCGUGCUUAACACAUAGCAAGUCGAACGCGAAAGGGACUUCGGUCCUGAGUAAAGUGGCGGCACGGGUGAGUAACGCGUAGAUAACCUGUCUUCAUGUCUGGAAUAAUACGCCGAAAGGGGUACUAAUACCGGAUAUUCUUGCUUUUCAUAAGUUAUGCAAGCAAAGGUGGCCUCUGCAUAUGCUACUGCAUGAAGAGGGGUCUGCGUACCAUUAGCUAGUAGGUGGGGUAAUGGCCUACCUAGGCGACGAUGGUUAGCGGGUCUGAGAGGAUGAUCCGCCACACUGGCACUGGAACACGGGCCAGACUCCUACGGGAGGCAGCAGUGAGGAAUAUUGCGCAAUGGGGGAAGCCCUGACGCAGCGACGCCGCGUGAGUGAAGGAAGGCCUUCGGGUCGUAAAGCUCUGUCAAGAGGAAAGAAGUGUACAAUGGCUAAUACCUGUUGUAUUUGACGGUACCUCUAAAGGAAGCACCGGCUAACUCCGUGCCAGCAGCCGC